UACGUAGGAGGCAAGCGUUGUCCGGAAUUACUGGGCGUAAAGCGCACGUAGGCGGCUUUCUAAGUCAGGGGUGAAAUCCUGGAGCUCAACUCCAGAACUGCCUUUGAUACUGGAGAGCUUGAGUCCGGGAGAGGUGAGUGGAACUCCGAGUGUAGAGGUGAAAUUCGUAGAUAUUCGGAAGAACACCAGUGGCGAAGGCGGCUCACUGGCCCGGUACUGACGCUGAGGUGCGAAAGCGUGGGGAGCAAACAGG
rnacentral:rRNA from 1 species